rnacentral:lncRNA from 10 species
GGGCGAGCAGGGAGGGCAGGAAGCUCAGUGGUGUUGGCACAUCCGGACCACUUGUCGGUAGACACCAGUGACCCUCACCACCACCCCAGGAAUGGGACAGUGUCAUGUGUUUCUGAAAUGACUAGGUUUUAGCACCAUUUCAUAGAUGAGGAAGCUGAAGCUAACUUGCCCAAGGUCAUAAACCGGGCGUCUGGUGGCCUCCCCUCCUCACUGCCAACCCUGAGAGCGGACUAGGGUGGAGUUAUCUGGAAAGAGGAAGCUGUACCUGAGAGCCCUAAACACACAUGCGCGCGCGCACACACACACACACGCACAAACACACAAUGCACGCACACACAUGCGCACGCACAUACACACACAUGCACACAUGGACACAUACCUGCACACACAAGCAUACACAUGCACACAGGCACACGCAUGCACACACGCGCAUGCACACACAUGCACACACAUGUGCAUGCACACAGUGCGACAGCUCUGAUUAGUAGGUAAAUAAAAGGUUCCCAUCUAGUGGUGACUCGGCCAAAGUGCAGACACUGAACCCCAAAGGCCCAUAGAGGCUUCAUUCAUCCCUUCUCUUAUUCUUCAUUCAUGGAUUCUAUUGAGCAUCUGCUCUGUGCAGCAUCUGUCCUGGAUGCUGGGGAUACUGUGAUGACUUAGACAAGGUCUCAGCCGCACACAGCUUAUGCUUCUUUGAGGGGAGGCAGACACAAGCCAGGAAACCAAUAAGAGAAGUUAAGUAAAAAGCACAGUGAGUGAGACAAACGGGUAUGGAGGACAUGGCCAGAGAGAGCUUUAGUUCAGGUGGUCAGGGAGCACCUCUCUGAGGAGGUGAAAUUUGACCAAGCCUCAAACAGUGGCAGGGAUCCCACUGCUUGCAGAUCCUGGGGAGAAGCAUUUUAGACAAAAAGAACAGCAAGUCCAAAGGCCCAGAGACAAGACAGAGCAAGACCUGUGACAUGAAACAGGCUGGUGUGCCCAGAGCAGGGAGGCUGGGAGAGUGGAGGGGGAGGGCGAUGAGGGUGGAGAAGCUGGUGAGGGUGGCAUCCCGGCAAGUGUGCCUGGCCACGGAGGCCACGGAAGGAUUCAGCAUGUCUUUCCCGAAUAGGAAACCACACUGGGGCUGUAAGCCAGAGAGUGAACGUAACUCGGGUUACAGUUUGAGAAGGUCCCUGCUUAUUUCCUUCCGUGAAGGAGGAAGAGCUGCUGAUGACAGAGAUUUGGGCAGUGGCCAAAGACAUAGAGAGAAGAGGGCAGAACAUGGGCUAUUUUAAACACAGAGAAGAUUAGCGGGACCCGCUGGCAGACCGGACAUGAAAUGUGGAAGGAGCGGGGGCAGCGAGGUCGGCUCCUAGUUUCCUGAGAAUGUGGGUGAAUCACGGGCUCACAGGCAGAGGGAGCACUAGGAUAUCAAGGGUUCCCUUGUGAACGCCUCAAGUUGGAGAUGCCUGAGACAUCCAAGUGAGAUGUCAAGCAGGCAGCUGGAAAUAGGAGAUGAGCUCUGGGAAAAUGCUCCCAUCACCCUGGCCUGUGUGCUGCCUGGGCGCACCCAUUCAGGGCCCUCCACGCAGCCCACGCCCCUGCCUCCUGAUUCCUUCUAGGCUUCUCCAGCACUCGUGGGAUGCCCAGAUGUGAUCAGGGAAGGGCUUGAGGAUGCAGGGAAGCUGUGGCUGAGAGCCCUAAACACACACAUGCACACGCACACACACAUACACAGGCACAUGCACACACGACCAUACACACACACAAAUGCACGCAGAUGCACACAAAUGCAUAUGCACGCACACAAAUGCAUAUGCACACACACACAUGCACAC